AUUGAAGACCUGUAUGAAAGGCAUGACGAGAUUUACCUGUCUCCCUUCUUCAAUCAGUGAAAUYGAUCUGCCCGUGCAGAAGCGGGCAUACAAACAUAAGACGAGAAGACCCUAUGGAGCUUUAAAUAAUAUAUUAAUAAAACGAAUUUACAACCCUCAGGGCAUAAGAAAUGGACUUAGCAUAAUAAAAUUAUUUUUGGUUGGGGUAACACGGGGUAUAGCAUAACCCCCAUAUCGAUUGGGCAAAAAUGCCUAAAAAAUAGAACGACAGUUCUAUUUAAUAAAAUAUUUAACGAGUAACGAUCCAGAUAUACCUGAUUAAUGAACCAAGUUACCCUAGGGAUAACAGCGCAAUCCUUUUCCAGAGUCCCUAUCGACGAAAGGGUUUACGACCUCGAUGUUGGAUCAGGACAUCCUAAUGGUGCAACCGCUAUUAAGGGUUCGUUUGUUCAACGAUUA
rnacentral:rRNA from 1 species